UCACCCCUCCCGACAAUGGCACUCAAAUUCUCUCAUUUUCUCAUGCCCUCUCUGUCACAUUCGUAGCUCGAUCUCCCUCUUCUGGGACUUAGCGUUCUGAGCAUGCGGUUUUUGCAACGGUCAUUUCGUGCCGCUUCGAUCUCAUCACCUUCUUUCCCCUCCCACCCCUCUUUUUGAUCCCCGCUUUGGGGCUUGCAAAUUUUUGACAUGUCAAAUGAGAGUGAAGCUAAAAUGUAAACAACAAGUGUUCGCGUGUGCCGUGAUUUUAAUAAACAUAAAAUCAACCACGGAAGUAUGGUUUAGUUGUGGUGGAAGCGAAAAAAAAUGCUUGGAGCAUGGAAUAAAACCGGAUGAAAUUUCUAGCCUUCACGCACGAUGCCGACGCUGAGGUAAGGUGUGCUUGUGUUUAAUUUCGAUGAUUGUUUCAUUUUAGGGUGUGCUCCACAGCUAGUAGCUCCCACAUUCGAACCGCUCAUGGUAACCUGCAAUUAUGUUAUUUUUAGUUUUUCAUUUAGUUUCAAUGUAAAGUAAUAGUUGAAAAACAUACAAUUUGAUUUCAUCCAACUUACAGGUUUUACAGGUGAACAACAAUUAGCAACUCCCGAUCGAAUUGCACACAACAACCACCCACAAUCACAGCUGUAAAAGUAACACGGAUAGGUAGCAAGGAAAUCAAGCUUGUACACAGAAAUCUACACAAAAACUGGGUUUUAUAAGCGCACGAAAAGCGACGCGGCUAUCUUUGAAUAAAAAGUAAACAAAAGAGUUUCGUUUUAAUUUAAUUU